AUCCCAUGAUGAGGACACUUUGUAACAUAUUCUUGAACUUAUUCCAGGCUUCAUCGAAAUUCUUCGAGUCGCCUUGACGGAAGAUAGAAAUGUCGUGCUUGAGCUU
rnacentral:snoRNA from 1 species